AUUUAAAUAGCUUAUGUAUAGAGUAUAACAUUGAAGAUGUUAGGGAGAUAAUGUAUCUUUAAAUA
rnacentral:tRNA from 1 species